rnacentral:rRNA from 1 species
UGGGGAAUAUUGGACAAUGGGCGAAAGCCUGAUCCAGCGACGCCGCGUGGGUGAAGAAGGCCUGCCGGGUUGUAAAGCCCUUUCGGUAGGGACGAAAGCCUCCGACCUAACACGUCGGGGGGUUGACUUAACCUACAGAAGAAGCACCGGCUAACUCUGUGCCAGCAGCCGCGGUAAUACAGAGGGUGCGAGCGUUAAUCGGAAUUACUGGGCGUAAAGCGCACGUAGGCGGCUUGGUAUGUCGGGUGUGAAAUCCCCGGGCUCAACCUGGGAACUGCAUCCGAAACUGCCUUGCUCGAGUAUGGGAGAGGGAAGCGGAAUUUCCGGUGUAGCGGUGAAAUGCGUAGAUAUCGGAAGGAACAUCAGUGGCGAAGGCGGCUUCCUGGACCAAUACUGACGCUCAGGUGCGAAAGCGUGGGGAGCAAACAGGAUUAGAUACCCUGGUAGUCCACGCCCUAAACGAUGAGAACUGGAUGUCGGGAGGGUUUGCCUUCCGGUGUCGUAGCUAACGCGUUAAGUU